AAAUUAAAAAAAAGAAAAGAGCUGAUAAUGGAUAAGGUUAAUUAUAAAGUGAAUAAAUAAAGAAGAUAAUUAAAAGAUAUAUUUACAUUUACGUCUCAUUGUGUCAUUUAAUUACUGCCUACAUUUAUUUAUUAACUUUAUUUUUUGUGCAUUUAAUCGCAUACUUAUUUAUUUAUUAAGCAUUUAUUUAUUUCUGUAUGUAUUUCUUCAUCUGUCAGGAUUUGCGGUGUGGAAGGGUGGUGGACCCCAACGCAGGACACAGAGCAGGGCCCUGUUUCAGAAAGCAGGUUCAGUGAAAACCCGAGCCCGAGAUGAGGGAAACUCUGGGUUUGUCUGUAACCCUGGCAACUUGUGCUGUGAACCUAAAUUGCUCCCUACCAGGUUUUGUUGGGCUAACCCCGAGUUUCUCAUCUUUAUCUGAAGCCUGCAUAGGCUACUGAAAGUCAGAAAUGGCGUGUCCUUUUCUUGAAGAUCCUGUUGAUUUGGAAGCUCAGAUACUUCGCAGAAAUCUCCGCCGGGAGAGGGUGAUUAGACCCCGCUUGGACAUAUUAUCAUUCCCUGAUAAUUUUUUGUAUGAGCGUUUCCGUUUUACAUCACAGUCCAUAAUUUCUCUCAAUAUAUUAAGCCCUCACAUUUCUCACAGCACAUCAUGAUCAUGCUUUGAGUUCCAAACAAAUUCUCUGUGCAGCACAGUUUUUUCACCAGUGGAAGUUUUUUGUUCAACAAUGGUGACGCUGAGCAUCUUUCAAAGGCAACCGUAUGUCAGGCUGUGAGAAAUGUGAGUCUUGCACUCAAGCGUUUACACAUUUGUUGUCUUCCCAAGUCACAGACCCACAAGACUCAAAGAGGAAUUCCACAGAAUUGCAGGGUUUCUGGGUGUGAUUGAUUCUAUCGAUGGAACGCAUAUUCCCAUUAAGACUCCUUCCAUUAAUGAAGGAGAUUAUGUGAAAAGGAAGUCUUUCCACAGCAUUAAUGUGCAGAUCAUCUGUGAUGCAGCACGUCAUCAGUAAUGUGGAAGCGGCCAGGGUCUGUGCAUGACUCCUGAAUUUUUCGUGAGUCUACAUUGAGCACUAGAUUUGCUCGUGGUGAGUUUGAAAUAUAUAGAGCUAGGCUAUAUCCCAAUAUAAGCAAUAUAUUUUUUGUCCUAUUUUGUAACUAUCUUUGCAUCAUCAUAGACAAGUUUGAUGCUUACCUGCUGGGCGACAGUGCAUACCCCUGCCAGCCCUAUUUGCUCACCCUGAUCCGGAGCCUGGCCCAAAGCAGCAUUACAACUUUGCACACUGCAGAACAAGAGCCAGGGUUGAGAUGACAAUUGGGAUGCUUAAGGCCCGGUUCCAGUGCCUUCGUGGGCUCAGAGUCACCCAGAAAGAGCCUGUGAUAUCAUUGUAGCAUGUGUGGUUCUCCACAACAUUGCUAUAUUUAGAGGAGAACGUUGUCCUUCUCUACCAGAGAAGGAUCCUGACCACCAUCCUGACCUCCCCGCUGACACACGAGAUGGAAGAGCAGUCCGAGAUGCAAUAUGUUACAACCUUUCUGAUCCAUCACCACCAAUGUGAAAUAAAAAUAUACAUGUGAUUUUAUGAAGUCUUCUUUAAUUCCUGCAAAUACGGUACAAUAGCCUAUUAUUCAAAUAAAAAGUAAAAUAAUCUACAUGUGGGCACCUCACACACCUUUAACUGAUGUUCCAGCAGUUGAAUUUCCAUUUUUGUUCUUUGCAUUUGCAGACUUAUGUGGUCCAUUUCCAAAUUAGAAUUUUCAGUUUGUACACCUUGUACAGCUCUUUCACAGGGAGCUAUAGGAGCACAGAAAUAGCAUUGAAUUUUAUAGUGUGUAAUGGGAAUUCCAUGAGAACCAUCUCCAAACACAGCCAUGUAAUUAAUGUUACUUAUUGGGGGGCCUCUGGUUUCUCGGGUAUGGGGGUCAAUGGAAGGUAAAUGUGUGUGAUGCUUUAUGAUGUGUCCAGGGGUAAGUUGUGCUCUGGACCUGGAUGGACCCUCUUCAUAAUUUCCAGCAUUGCUCUGCGUGAGAAGGUGUCUUCAUCAUCCUCCUGUAAGAACCACCAACUUUUGUCAUCCAAUGUUUUGGCUAAGGGGCCAUCUCUUCGGCCUCUGAGUGGUGCUGGUGGUGGACCCCUACCCGCUUUUCGGGCCUCAGCCUUUUCUGUUGGCUGUAAUUGAGUCACAUUUCAGCACAAAUUUGGAGACUUCUGUGGAUUAAGGCAUAUAGCCGUUGCUUUCAAAUACAUAAUAUGAAAAACUGAUAGUGUCAGGAUAGCUGGAAAAAGUACUUUCUUGGCUUAGAAAUGAUCACACAUUGAAUGUAGCCUCUGAAUGCUGUUUAAUUUUGUAGGGUAUGCCUAUGCUCACAACUACUUGUAAUGAAGUCAUCUUACACAUCUGAACAAUAUUUCAUUUUCAGUUGCUGCCAAGUACAUUUGGUGCCUGUUGGGUUUCACCAGCACAAAUAUGCAACAUGCACAUCAAAUAAGUGUUAUGAGUGGAACAUGAUAAAACAUAUUCUUUUAAAUCAAUUAAUAGGCUACUCACGCAUUGACUCUGUCAGCAAUUUUCUGCCACGCCUGCUCACGCGCUUUUGACACUGUUACAGUAUUGCUUUUUUAUUUUAUUUUAUUUUUUAAUAUAUGUGCUCAUACUCUCCAUAUGCAUUGAUUAAAAUUUCCAAUUCUACCGCGGAGAAGUAGGAGGAUCGGGGCCUUUUCUCUGCAGUUGUCAUGAUGACUCUUGUUAUCUGCAUUCCAUUGAGGAGGGCUUUUUUAUCCGCAUGCACACGCGAUAUUCAGGGUUAAUUGACCUCAGGAGUUGUCUGAACUAAUUUUAAACACCUGUGCUGAAACCAGAAACUCAGGUUCAGGUUUACACUUAAGGUUCACCAGGUGAACCAGGUUCAAUUCCAAAAAGGUUUAUUAACCAAACUAAAAUCGAGUAAACUUACAAUGAGUGGCUGAGUCCAGGUAAUCCAAAAUAAUAACAGUAAAAACAAACCAGGUGAUCCAACAGAGAAAUCCAAGAACGGGUGUAAUCCAAAGGCCGGCACAGAUCCAAACAUGAAGAGAACUGAACAUAAGGCACAGGCAACUGACACAAGAGAAGAAACAUACAAUAGACUAAAACCUAAUCAUACUGACAGACUACAGAUGUAACAGGAAGAACGGACUGAACUAAUAACAGAACACAGAGAAGACAUGGGGCAAAAAUAACAACCACACUAAGACAUCAAACCAAAACCCAGACACAGAGAAACUAAAAUCACAACACAGAGAACGCAUGGCCAAAAUAAUAUAACCUCACCUCAGGACAGGAUCGUGACAGGAUCCGUCCUCCAUACUAAUUACCAUUCUGUGUGUAAAAGACAAGGCUGUGUAACCAAAGUACAUACAUUAAACCUUUUAAAUGCAGUGUGACGGCCCUAGAAAAUAAUGAUGUAUGAUAAGAGCAUUACUG